CCCUUAGAUGCUCUGGGCCGCACGCGCGCUACACUGGUCGAUGCAACGAGUUUCUUUCCUUGGCCGAUAGGCCUGGGCAAUCUUUGAACAUCGAUCGUGAUCGGGAUAGAUUCUUGUAAUUUUUGAUCUUAAACGAGGAAUUCCUAGUAAACGCAAGUCAUCAGCUUGCAUUGAUUACGUCCCUGCCCUUUGUACACACCGCCCGUCGCACCUACCGAUUGAAUGGUCCGGUGAAAUCUCCGGACUGGCGUGAGUCGGAGCAAUCUGACAAACACCGGAAAGUUGAUUAAACCUUACCAUUUAGAGGAAGGUGAANUCGUANCA
rnacentral:rRNA from 1 species